rnacentral:rRNA from 1 species
UACGUAGGGUGCGAGCGUUGUCCGGAAUUAUUGGGCGUAAAGAGCUCGUAGGCGGUCUGUCGCGUCUGCUGUGAAAACCCGGGGCUCAACUCCGGGCUUGCAGUGGAUACGGGCAGACUAGAGUUCGGUAGGGGAGACUGGAAUUCCUGGUGUAGCGGUGAAAUGCGCAGAUAUCAGGAGGAACACCGGUGGCGAAGGCGGAUCUCUGGGCCGAUACUGACGCUGAGGAGCGAAAGCGUGGGGAGCGAGCAGG